UGUGCAGGCGGUUUGGUAAGUCGGACGUUAAAGCUCCCGGCUCAACUGGGAGAGGCCGUUCGAAACUGCCAGACUCGAGGGUAGGAGAGGGAGGUGGAAUUUCAGGUGUAGCGGUGAAAUGCGUAGAUAUCUGAAGGAACACCAGUGGCGAAGGCGGCCUCCUGGCCUAUCCCUGACGCUAAGACACGAAAGCUAGGGGAGCAAACG
rnacentral:rRNA from 1 species